rnacentral:rRNA from 1 species
GACGAACGCUGGCGGCGUGCCUAAUACAUGCAAGUCGAACGCAGUGGGGACGGGUGAGUAACACGUGGGUAACCUCCCAUCAGAGGGGAUAACACUUGGAAAAAGGUGCUAAACCGAGAAUGAUGGAUGAACCCGUGGGGCAUUAGCGAGUUGGUCAGGUAACGGCUCACCAAGGCCACGAUGCAUAGGCGGGCUGAGAGGGUGAUCGGCCACACGGGGACGGAGACACGGCCCAGACUCCUACGGGAGGCAGCAGUGGGGAAUAUUCGGCAAUGGACGAAAGUCUGAUCGAGCAACGCCGCGUGUGUGAAGAAGGUUUUCGGAUCGUAAAAUACUUUUGUUAGAGAAGCGGUAUCUACCCAGAAAGCCACGGCUAACUACGUGCCAGCAGCCGCGGUAAUAC